CUGCUUUGAAGGAAUCCUAAGAUGCACAAUUUUUCAAAAUGCUGCAAGCUAGUAGAUGACAUGGAAGAAUAAACACAUGAUCAGAAACUAAAGAAAGCUGACGUGGAAGAAAAGAAGAAAAAGAUGAAAGCAAUUGGAUCAAUUCACAGAAACCAUAUCAGCUGAUGUUCAAAAUGGAGGAAGACUCUCAAAACAAGUUAUCCAAAGGCUGAGGAAUUACCUGGUUUGUUGAACUCACGUGUGAUAAGGAACAUGCUAUUUGCUAAUGCAAGAAACCUCCGGAUAUCCCGUAUAGGAUGCUGUCAGUAAAAGCUCCCUGGAAUGUGAUGUUCCAAAGGAUACAGAGUGGAGAAGCCGUGACUUACUAUAGGCACCCUGUCACUUCAAUUAAUACAGCAUGCCCACCUCGAGCAAAGGAUGCUCUCAAUCCAAGGAAAUAUUCCAAUGGAUCUCUCUUGCCAAUGUUUAUUGCUAAAAGUGUUAGUCACUCAGUCAUGUCCAGUUCUGUGACCCCAUGGACUGUAGCUCGCCAGGCUCCUCUGUCCCUGGAAUUCUCCAGGUAAGAAUACUGGAGUGGGUUGUUGUGCCCUUCUCCAGGGGAUCUUCCAGUCCCAGGGAUCGAACCCAGGUCUUCCACAUUGCAGGCAGAUUCUUUACCAUCUGAGCUACCAGGGAAGCCUUAU
ensembl:lncRNA